rnacentral:tRNA from 1 species
GCCUCUAUAGUUCAGCCAGGAUAGAAUGCAACCUUGCGGAGGUUGAGACCGAGGUUCAAAUCCUCGUGGGGGCA